UUUAUAAUAGGGCGCUGUAUUUUGAACCCUAAACUGUAUAAAAUUGAUGUGAACCCUGUUUCCUUUGCCGGUCCUGCUGCUGUUAUUGCCUACCAUUAUACAGCAUGUUAUAAGCGAAAUUGCAUGCUAAAAGUCAGACGUUUUAGAAAGGGCAUAUUGUUUUCCACCAGCCCCGCUGCUGCACGUGUCUUCAACGUUAAUUAGCUGCUAGCAACAAACACCAACUUCGAGGUGGACACCUGCUGCUUUCAGCGACUCUUAAGGAAUUAUUCUCAACUGCCAGGACCACUGCUUCACUUCAACAAGCAGUUACAGCUGUCAGCAGUGAUCUCACAUAAUGGAGAAGUCACGCAGUGUCGCUCCGCUGCCGGAAAUCAGCCCCAAGACAAUCGGGCUCAAUGGAGGUGGAUGCAGCAGGUCGGGGGGAGAUCAGCUCCUGAUUAGGAAGCUUUCUGACAGAAUGGACGGGAAGAACUCAUUAUUGGACUUAUAGUAAUAUUCAGGAAUAAGUCAGCCUCUUUGUUGAUAGGAAAAGGACUCUUGAGCAAUUUGCAACAUCGGAAAUAAUCAGUCUUCAAUGAGUCUGGGGAAACAUUCGCAUCACAAGCGUGCAUGGGAUAACACAUUCAUUUACAAAAUCAAGAUGGAAGGGGCUUGUUUACCAAGGUUAUUGUAGGGUUGAUGUUUCAUUUGGUUUCAGUGUGGUGUCAUCACCAGAUAAGUGACUGUUGUUUCUUUUGCACUGGAGUAAUGGAUAGUUCUACACCUAUUACACUGUAACCAAAGUGAAAGUGUGCUGGUAAUAUGGAAAGUUCUUUGUUGAGCAAUGUGACUAUAGUUCUGUAAUACCCGUGGAUGUUGAGGGCUUUCUUAUACUGUAUCUCUGUGUGUAGUUGAAGGAUAUAGAAGUCUGUAUGAAUAACACUAACAAUAAAACUUAAAAUACUA